CUCACCAUCACAAAAACAAUCAAGAAAUGAACACACUGGAGUUUAUGAACUAAGUAUCGAUCUCGGACAGACAGAGUUUCAAAAAAAAUUCAUUGUCACUGUUUAUGCUCCUGUGCCUCCUGUCAUCACCAGAUACUCUCCUCAGUGUUCAUCAUCAUCAUCAUCAUCAUCAUCAUCAUCAGGAAUUAAAAGUGUGCUGCUGUGUUCAGUGGUGAAUGUGAGUGCUGUGACUCUCUCCUGGUACAAAGGAGACAGUUUAUUGUCCAGCAUCAGUGAGGCUGAUUUCAGCAUCGGUCUCUCUCUACCUCUGGAGGUGGAAUAUCAGGAUAUAAACAGCUACAGCUGUGUAGUGAACAAUCCCGUCAGCACCCAGAUCACACAUCUGGACAUCAGCAAACUCUGUCAGACAUGUUCAGACUGUGACAAUUGGAGUCAAAAGGAGCUGUGAUCCGAUUGGUGGUCUCUGCUCUGGUGGACGUGACACUUUAUGAUGCAGUGUUUCCUAACCUUUUUCUGACAUGGCAUAGUUUAGAUAAGUAAAAAAUCUGACGGCACACAGCUAAGCACUUAAAAAAAAAAAAAAUGGAAAGGGGGAAAGUUUUUUUUUUUUAAUAAUUAAACAAUGCAUCAUCAGAGUUGGUAUUUUGGCUUUAUAUAUGAUCAGACACUUGCACCAUGCUCAAAUAGAGUUAACAAGGUUUUGAAGAGUGAUUGAUGUAGGUAUUUAGCUUGUAUGAUCAAGAAAAUUGUUAAUAAAGUGCUUUAUAUGGAA